GAUGAACGCUGGCGGCGUGCCUAAUACAUGCAAGUCGAGCGAAAAGACGCGGAGCUUGCUCCUCUGACGUUAGCGGCGGAGGGGAGAGUAACACGUGUAUAACCUACCUAUAAGACUGGGAACAUUUCGGGACACCGGAGCUUAUCGCGGAUAAUCUAUUGCAGCGUGUGGGUGGAUGGUGAGAGUCGGUGGUGCUGGCGGGUGUAGAUGGAUUGGCGCCGUAUCAGCUAGUUGGUGGGGUAGUGGGUUUCCAAGGCGACGAGGGGUAGGCGGCCUGAGAGGCUGACCGGCGACAUUGGGACUUAGGUACGGCACAGACUGCUACGGGAGGCAGCAGUGGGGAAUAUUGCACAAUGGGCGGAAGCCUGAUGCAGCAGGGCCGCGUGCGGUAUAACGGCCUUAGGGUUGUAAACCGAUUUCGCAUGUGACGAAGCGUGAGUGACGGUAAUGGGUAAAGAAGCACCGGCUAACUACGUG
rnacentral:rRNA from 1 species